CGGAAGGGUGAGUAACGCGUGGGUAAUUUACCUCUAAGACUGGGAUAACCCAGGGAAACCUGGACUAAUACCGGAUGUGGUUCUUUGUCGCAUGGCAAGGCAACUGAAGAUGGGGACCUUUUAGGCCUGUCACUUAGAGAGAAGCCCGCGUCCCAUCAGCUUGUUGGUAGGGUAACGGCCUACCAAGGCUUACGGGUAGCUGGUCUGAGAGGAUGGUCAGCCACACUGGGACUGAGACACUGCCCAG
rnacentral:rRNA from 1 species